rnacentral:rRNA from 1 species
AUGGCUCUCCUCGCCGUCGCGUCCCCGCUCAAAACCCUAAACCCUACCUUGAGCCCCAGCCCAAGCCCCAGCCGCCGCCGCGGUCUCCUCCUCGGCUCCUCCCAUCUCCGCCUGCCGCCGCUGCUCUCGCGGAGCGGCCGCCUCCGCUGCUCGGCCGGCUACGGCGAUGCCGCCGCGCCGCAGCAGGCGGCUCCGACGACGCAGCGGCCGGACGAGAUCCCGUGGAGCAGGGAGCUCUGCAACUCGGUGCGGCUCAUAGGGACGGUGGGCACCGACAUCGAGCUGCGCCAGCUCCCCAGCGGCGCCUCCGUCGCGCGGGGGCGCAUUGCCGUCUGGAAGUCGGCCACCGAGACCACCUGGGUAACUCUUGCAUUUUGGGACGACUUGGCUGUUAUGGCCUCUGAGCAUGUAAAACAAGGAGACCGAAUAUUUGUUUCUGGACGGCUUGUAUCAGAUACUGUUGAGGAGGGGCCUGAGAAGCGGCAGGUUUACUACAAGGUUGUCGUUCAACAGUUCAACUUCAUUGAGUCCUUCCAACCUGUGCGGUUAUAUUCAGAGUCAAGCCAGGAUGACAUUUGCGCACCGAGUUGCAUCAAGUUUCAUGGAUAUUUUCAACCGGGUGGAAAGCAUGGAGAUUAUGUUGGUAAUGAUUCUACCUCUGGUUCAACUGAGAAUAAAAAGGGAGAUUACAUGAGUUCCUCCUCUCGUUCAACUGAAGCACUGUGGCAAGCAUUCUUCGCUAAUCCUCUUGACUGGUGGGAUAACAGGAAAGAUAAGAAGAACCCAAGGUAUCCAGACUUCAAGCACAAGAGCACCGGCGAAGCGCUGUGGGUCGAGGGGAGGAACAACCCCAACUGGGUCGUCUCCCAGCUGGCGGUCUUGGACUCGAGGAUGGGUUCCCUGCAGGACAAGCAGAGGAAACCAGUCUCCUACAUGUACGCCGACGACUUCAUGACAUCUGAUGCCAGCGACUAA